CACCGCGGUUAUACGAGUGACCCAAGUUGAUAGACACCGGCGUAAAGCGUGGUUAAGAUAUUAUUCAACUAAAGCCGAACAUCUUCAGAGCAGUUAUACGUAUCCGAAGACACGAAGCCCCACCACGAAAGUGGCUUUAUUUUACCUGACCCCACGAAAGCUAUGAUA
rnacentral:rRNA from 1 species